rnacentral:lncRNA from 1 species
GGUACGGUUUGCCUUCCUGUUUUGGCACGGGAUACCUUCCUUCCUCCUUUGCUCCUCGUACCAACGACCGGCUUUGCUAGGGUUCCUCAUCCAGCCGACGUCUUCUUCUCCGGCUGUACUAUCGCCACCCCACUUCCAGCGCCCCGCAAUCAGGACUAGGUGAGAAACUCAACAAAUCUCAAGUUGUCUGGGUGUUUAUUUUUAUUUUUACUUUUUUUUAGGGUCUAUUUCAGCAAAUCUCAGUAUGCAGAUCUCUGUAUUUAAGAUUUCUCUAGUUUCCCAGUGCUACAGCACUUACGAUUUGAGGUUGAUUUGCCGUAUGGCUUGAUUUAUGUCUCUCACCUUGAUUAACUCGCCAUUCAGUUUCUCUUUUCCUGAACUCACGGGUCAGGAUCCUUGUUAAUACAUAUAUUUCUUCAGGCGCUCUAAUACUAGUAUACAAUGCCUCGAGUUGGAGACCCAGAAGCAUCCUCGUUCUUAAGGCUCUUGGCGGAGUUCGGUUACCUUUCCUCCAUCAUUCUGGAACGAUGGAUUAAUUUCAAGAAUGUGUCUAUCGGACGGCCUUUCUUAAUAUACAACACUGUAUGGUUGGUUCUUGACAAAAUAGACUCGCCCUAUGCACGGCCCUGGACACUUUUUUAAUACUCUACUCCCUCCUUUUUUACAAGGCACCCCAAUCUGACGGGUGCCAUGUUGACUCAGUGGAGGAAUUCUGUAAAUAAAGAUUGGCUUUCUCUUAUGUCAAGCACAGUGUCUCCCUUUCAAAUUUUAUGUCAUUUAAGGGUAUGGUUAUGUGUUAUGUAUCUUUAAAAUAUGUGUGCGUUUAUGGAUCUGAUAAAAGAAGUGUGGUGUUAGAUAGUUUGCAUAUGCACGUUUUAAAUGCCGGAGUUGCCAUUGUUGUCUCUCCAGCUUGUGAGCCACCCCUUUCUAUGUUGCUCCCAGAAUUCUUUUGUUUGAUCGAACAAUGCAGCAGCGAUCCUUGCAGUUUGAGAAUCCGCGUCACUUUGUUUUGCUAGCCCACAGACCACAGCUCUGUUCUGGACACAUGGCUACUUUGACCUCCAGGCACCUCCAUUCUCACCAGCAUGAUUUAAACUUUUUGAAGCAUUUCCUUGGGACGGUUUCUUAGUACUCUUUGCAGAAACCCUAGGAAAAGAGAUCGGUGAAUUGAUUUCUGUUACAUACUUGUCUGGUAUACAAGAAACCUUCGAUAUCAUGAUGAAGUACAUUCUUGGCAUGGCAAGUAUGCAAACCUUUUGUGAGCUGCUCUGUAUUAAUUAAAAGAGAAGAAUGUUUGAGAAAUAUGAAUAGACCUUUUUAAACAAGUGCGCUAACAACACGUGCCUUUGUUGGAGGAGCUUGGCUUCUUCCAAAUAACUGGAAUGCAAGAGAAGUUGGCGAUGAGCAGCUUCAUGUUUUUGUAAGCUGAUACUCAAUUGGUAUAGCAACUUCACACGACUUUGUUUGGACAAAUACAGAAUUCAAAUGGCCAUCUUCCAAAAGCUUUUUGCAGUUAAAGAUUAUCAGACACACUUGAAUUAUGUGCAUGUUGUGAAUAAUCAAAGUUCUACUGUACGUUAUCCGUGGAUCCAGGUGCAUGUCAUUCCAAUUGCCUACAGGAAUGAGGAUAAUUUCGUGAGAGCGAACUAAGUGGUCUGUUUUUUUGGGUAUAUAUAUGCUCUGCUUUCAGGUGCUAAUUCUGUUCUAGAUGGACCCUGUGUUUCCGAUUACUUCAAUUGUCAGUUACAUUGCUCCUGUUUUGCAGAAGGGGAGCCUUGGCACAGUGGUAAAGCUCCUGUUUUCCAAUAUGUAUGCUUGAGCCCCUGUGCAACACCAUGUGUACUCUCUUGUUGCAUGUAUUCAUACAUCCAUCUUUAGUUUUUGAUUCAGGUGAUAUCAGUCUAUAAAGUUUACUGGUGUGUGUAUGAUAAGAUGCAUGUUAAGGCAUUUGUUUGGUUUUGUACAGACAUGCCCAUUGGUUUAGCUUCUUUUACCCUGUGCUAAAUAUUCCUCAAUUGUUCAUAUCCUGUCAG